AUCCAGCUGAUGAGUCCAAAAUAGGACGAAACGCGCGUCAAACUAGAU
rnacentral:hammerhead_ribozyme from 1 species